CAAAAAGGGGGAGCUUUUCACGAUUUUUCUUGGCCAAGAGGGGACCAAAAAAUUCUGUCUUUGUUCAUCACACAAGUAGGAAUGGAGGAAGUGAACUUCGGAGGAACCCCUUUUGAUGUAUUUUGGUAUUAGGGUUUCAAAUGUUUUGGCUGGACUUGUGAUUGUUGUAUAGUUUGGGGAACUGAUGUAUCUUUUGGGAACUUGAUGUAAGGAUUGGCUAACUGAUAUAUUUUGAACUCGUGGUGUGAGCCUUGGAUGGUUGAUUAUGGAAGCGACUUUUCUUUA